rnacentral:lncRNA from 1 species
CUAAACCUACGCAUUAUUGGUAACCAUCUGGAAUUGUUCAAAACUUAAUAUGCUAGGAACUUUUCAGAAUUGCCUAUGCCUACUUCUAUUUAUUCCCCUGGUAAUCUAUCAAAGGCAGGCGUAUAUCAAAUAUUCAACAAAACAUAGGGCUUCUGCAAGUUAUUCUAGUCACAUGAUUUCAUCAAGGAUAUAACAAUUUCGAAAAUGCAAUAUAGGUUUAAAAUUCGGGUUGUAAGUGCCAGAUCGUUACAAUUCAAACACUACUUUCUCGAUUGAAUUGGUUCUACAGGAUGAAAAAGGUAUUAAAAGAAUACUUUUGUCUUGCUAAUUCAUUUUGCUUCUCUGUUUUUUAAGUUACAAAUCUUGAUUGAAUUGGUUGUACAAGAUUAAAAGGUAUCAAAAGUUACUUUUUUUGUCUUACUUUUGUUCUUCAUACAUUUUUUAACAUUGCUUUCUUGAUUAAAUUGGUUUUACAAGAUAUAUAUGGAUAUAUUUCUGAAUAAAUUUCAGAUCUGGAUUAAAUGUUCACUUUAUUUAUUCUAUAUGAAGCUACAAAUUCACUAUUAAUUUUUUUAAUUGAUUCUUUUAUUUGAAUCAUUUCAUGUCUUUUUCUGAAUUGAACUUUCCGUUUUAGUUAGUUUGGAAUUUCAAUAGUUAUUGACAAGUAAUUUGAAGCUUUUCAUGGUUUCUUAUAGUAUUGACUUUUCCUAUUUAUUUACAUACAAUCCAUUAAUUUCUAUAUUUCGUAGUUUUUUUACUUAGUAGAGAGGCUACUUGCUCGUGUUGGUUAUUUUUUUUGGCCCAUUUCAAUAUUACAUUGAUUCUACAUGUGAUCGAAGAACCUUUUUCCAUUCUUGGUUAAUAUAUUUUCUCCAUCAAGCUAUCUAGAUUGAUGUCAUGGUGAAACUAUUUUGUUUGAUGGGUAGCCUUCAAUUGAUGUGGGGAUGAAGUUAUCUUAUUCUAUUGAUAGAUUGUCAAUGGAUGGAUCUUGCAUGGCAAGUUCGAGCUACAACAAUAGAAUGAUGGAGUUGAACUAUUUUUUUUAUUAAUUCUUUCAAGAGUUGGUCGAAUAUUGUAUCCACAAGGGAUUCCAGAAAAAUGAAAAUUAUUUCUGCAUUAAAUUAUUGAUUAGAGGUGGAACAUUAAGCAUGUCUUUGUUGAUUAUUGCUCGAUUUCUUAAGAAAAUGGUAAUGUCCUGUUUUGGACAUGAAUCUACUGCCAAUGAUGAUUUUUCUAAGUCCUUUUUUGCCAUUAUUUUUGUUACUGCAGAAGUUUUAUUUGAAUUAAAAAUGUUUUUAAUUCGAUUGGACUGAAACAAAAAUGGAUCUUUUGGAUGCAGGUGAUAUAUAGUGGAUAUACAGACAUUAGAAUUUAUCAUCCACCUGAUACUCCUAGGGAAGUCUAGGAGUACUCAUCUUUUCAGUAAUCACUUAAGUUUUUGGAUCUCCAAAAAGUGGGAAAACCUUCUAAUGAUAUUACAAAUUUCCAAGAGCUUCUCCACUGCUUUUGGCAGUAAUCAAAUGAUUUUGAGCUUGGCAAAGAUGUGAUGACAUUGAAAAAGUUUAGCUUGGGUCUAUGGACUUAAGAAUGCAUUAAACAAUGACACAUACUUAAAAUUAUAAUUCAUCUAGAUAUAUCUACUUAUGCCUUUAAUCAUUGCUAAAGUUGACACAAUUUUACCCGAUUGUAUGUCGAAAGACCCCCUAAUGAUCUUAUGUUGAAAUAGAUCUUAUGAUGACAAUUGAGUUGUUUCAUCACAUCUAUGAUUGAAGGGUAAAUAUAUAUAUGCAAAUUUACCUUCAGACCAAGAAAAAGAACCUAAACUUAAUAGGAGAAAAGGAGAAAACCCGUGCAAUCAUAACGAUAAAUAAAGCACCACAAAAAAUUGAGGAGGAUAGAAUGUGGUAUCAAUUAUAUCAGUAUGUAGUGAAUUUCAUAUGUUUAGGCUUAGAAAACAUAAGCGCAGAGCAGUUUGCUUGAAUUCUGUUAUAUGUGAUUAGUUAUGGUGUAAUCCGCCAUGUUGCAG